rnacentral:rRNA from 1 species
GUGAACUAUGCCUGUGUAGGGUGAAGCCAGAGGAAACUCUGGUGGAGGCUCGCAGCGGUUCUGACGUGCAAAUCGAUCGUCAAACAUGGGCAUGGGGGCGAAAGACUAAUCGAACCUUCUAGUAGCUGGUUUCCGCCGAAGUUUCCCUCAGGAUAG